rnacentral:rRNA from 1 species
GACGUAGGUGGCGAACGUUAUCCGGAAUUAUUGGGCGUAAAGGGUGCGUAGGUGGCCUGACAAGUUAUCAGUGGCAAAUCGAGGCUCAACCUCGUGGAAACUGGUAAUACUGUUCGGCUUGAGUACAGGAGAGGUUAACGGAACUCUAUGUGAAGCGGUAAAAUGCACAGAUAUAUAGAAGAACAUCAAUAAAGGCGAAGGCGGUUAACUAUUCUGUUACUGACGCUGAGGCACGAAAGCGUGGGGAGCAAAACGG